UACGAAGGGGGCUAGCGUUGCUCGGAAUUACUGGGCGUAAAGGGCGCGUAGGCGGAUAUCUAAGUUGGGGGUGAAAGCCCGGGGCUCAACCUCGGAAUAGCCUUCAAUACUGGAUAUCUUGAGUUCGGGAGAGGUGAGUGGAAUGCCGAGUGUAGAGGUGAAAUUCGUAGAUAUUCGGCGGAACAUCAGUGGCGAAGGCGGCUGCCUGGCCCAAUACUGACACUCAGGUGCGACAGCGUGGGGAGCAAACAGG
rnacentral:rRNA from 1 species